rnacentral:lncRNA from 1 species
CAAAAAUUCCCUGCAAGAUUUUUAGAGGGAUAAAUGCAGAAGCAAAGAUUAUCCUGUAUCUAAAUAAACAUGGUUUUCAAUUUGCUUUCAAAUGUAAGUAAUCAUCAUGUUGGAUGAUCAUAUCCACAAGUUAUGAAUCAAAAUGUAACCAUCCCAGUCUUCUCUCUUGUGAAUUCAAAUACUUUAUUAUUUAAAAUACUCAAAUGACGGAUGCCUAUAUCGAAGAAUAGAUGGAUGCAAUCAAAAUUGGGAACAUCCAUCACAUUAAUAAGAAUAAUCCGGGAAAAACAACUUGACAAAAAAUAAAACUCAGAACAUUUGAUUACUUCAACUUCCAGAUUUCACGAGAAUUUGGAAUAAAAAAGAACUUGAAAACUCAAGAAUCUUCAAACUGGCUUCAUUGGUGUCUACUUAUUGAAGAAACAUGGUCUCACCAUUAUCCAAAUGCAAUAUUUUAUAAUGUAUAGAAAUACGUUGAAGACAUUUUAAAGGAAGUUCCGGAUGUCCAAAGUUUUGACGUCAACCGCCGCAGGCUCAUCCUUGAAUUCCUCCCUGAAAUAGCAGACAAGGAAAAAUAAAUCAUAUAAUGGUUUAAAAUUUUAUUUAUUUCGUAGUGAAACGAGUAAAGUGUCUCUAACCAUAACAAUAGUCCUAUUUCCAACAAACCAAUUGGUCCAUGUGAAAUUCAUAUAUUCCAAAUUCAAAAGCCGUAGGGAUAUUUUAUACUACUAUCUUCAAUUUUAGAAUCAGGCAGAAAAUAAAAACAAAAAGGUGUUUUUGUUAUAAUAAAAAAAAAAAGCAGGAGAAUCAGGGAGAAGGGAAAGAUACAGAAGUUAGAACUUAGAAAUGGUACUGUGAGUGGUUAUUUUGCCUCUUAAAAAAAGGGUGUUGUGAAUAAUACCUUUUCUUCUGAGUUUCCAUUGCCUCAACAGCAUCCUUUUUCAACUCCUCCAGCUGUGCUUUGGCUAUUUUAAGCUCCAGCUGCUCUUCGUGCUUUGGCAAUUCUUCUUUUCGAAUUCCAAGUCUAAGAUGGCACCAUCAAGGGGUGAAAAAACAACAAGUGGAAAACCAAAAUAAGUAAAGUAAUUAUAACCCAGUAAUUCAUUCUGCUCAAAUGAAUAUAAUAAUAAUCAAACACUUUAGAAUCCUCCCUAGCAAAGUAAACAUUUAAAUUACCCAAACAAAGGCUAGCAUUCAAACAACUAAAUGGAAUGAAUCCCAAACGAAACAGAAAGGACAAUUGACCACACCACACAUAGAGGAUAGACUAUAAAAUUCCCACACAAGCGCCCACAAAAUGCAAUAUUUGGAAAGAACAAAAACAUGUAAAUACCUUCAUGAAUUAUAAGAGUUGGUCGAUAUUGUCUACUCAAAAAUACAUUUUAUCACAAAAAACUGUUUCCUCUACAGCAUAAGAUGAAAUGAUCAUUUUACAAUAGAAUGAGGAUACUGAAAUACAACUACACCAGUAAAUAAUAUUUAAAAAUCACCAAAUAUAUAGAAAGUAUCCCGUUAAAUUGCAUGAAAACAUAAACAAUAAAACAGUUACAUAGAAAAGCUAGAAAAGAUACAAUAUAGGAAUAUGAACUUACUUGUUAUUAAUCUUAUCAAACUCUGCCAAAAGAAGGUCCAUUCCUUUCUUAUCAUUUCUCAAUAGGGGUUUCUUUAAAUCCUUUUCAAUUUUCUCCAAUGCAUCAAACAUUAAAGCCUCUGCUCCAAGAUCAUCAGUAAGACCUCUCCUGAAAAGAAAUGUACCCAGAUAUAUGAGCCAAUGUGACUAGAGCCCGAUGUAACCUGAAGCAAGGGAUGUCUGCAUCAUGUUCCCUUUUCUCGCAUUUGUAAAUAUAUAAAACAUAUGCACGCACCUAAGUUUGAAAAGGAGAGCUAAUCGGGUAAAUAAUAAUAAUAAUUCAGGGAAUUCAUGAUUUUGAGUAAAGAACAGAGUGAUUUGACAAUUUUAAGAACCGCAUGUUUAAAAGAAGGUGUUGUGUAACAGACACAACUACAUUAAGUGGUACAUUGCGUCUAUCAUUUGAUUUUGAAGUCUCACUAGAUUCUAUGGCGUUCCUUCCAUGCUGAAUCCUUCCCCAUAUAUCCUAAAUCUCGAUUGAAAUGAUAUACUGGUACCGGCGUUGGGUUUACGAAUGUAUCUCUCUCUUGUUGUUUUCUUGGUUCCUUAAGCUUAUCCUAUAUCCUCUCUUCUUUUUUCUGUUUCAUCUGUUACCUUCUUUCUUUUGGUACUGAUUGUUUUGACUUGGGCAGGAGAAAGUGGGUGUGGGAAUAACAAUAAUCUUCACAAAUUUCAUUAUAUAAUUCCUAAAAUAUUUGAUUUGAAACACGCUACUGGAAUUUCAGUAUUUUUGACGUAGAAGGUGUGGGGGUGGUUCUAUCGUGGGACAGAUAGAGUGACUAGGAGGGAAGGGGAGAAAACUACAGUGUUGUGGGAGUAUGUCAGAAUUGCUUAAAACCCUCAAUCGAUAAGUAGAAAAAUGUUGUGCAUCACCACAAAGACCGAUUGCCCAUGUUAGACACCACCUUAAGAGAAAGCCCUUUGACAAUGAGAAAAAGGUAAACUGAAUAGAAAUAAUCAUAUUAUAGUACAUAUCACAAAAACAAAGAUCUUCAACGUUAAAAAGUAAUAAUAAUGUACAUUAUAUAUAUAUAUAUAUAUGUAUGCACAUCAUCUAGUUAAAAAUGGAGAGUAAAAUAGAACAUCACGUACUUGGUUCUUAUUUCCUUCAAGGUUAAAAGAUAAGUCCGAGCAUCAGGAAUAUCUUGUGUCUCUAUAUCAAUGUCAGCCUUGACAUCUUGAGCCACUGACAGCAAGUUUGCCCUGAAGAAUGCACAACAAAAUGCAGGCAAAACAUAAUUAAGUAUUGUAAACAACAAAAAUUAAAUGUUUAAAGAUUACGAAAUAUAUACUGGUAAAUACUGAGAAGACUAUAUUAAAAACAACAAGGUAAAGGAGAAACUCACUUCUCUCUGAUUGUUUUCAUGACCUUCGCAUAUUGAGAAACAGCAGCUGGAUCCUCUGGAGCUAUGGUGAUCUUCUCCUUCCUUAAUAUUCCGAUGGAAGUCUCAAAUUUGUUCUUCACUUCCAAAUAAAUCUUCUUCAGCAUCUC